rnacentral:rRNA from 1 species
AGAACGAACGCUGGCGGCAGGCUUAACACAUGCAAGUCGAACGCUCCUAGCAAUAGGGGAGUGGCAGACGGGUGAGUAACGCGUGGGAACAUACCCUCCGGUUCGGAAUAACUCAGGGAAACUUGAGCUAAUACCGGAUACGGCCUUUAGUCGAAGGAUUGGCGGCGAAAGAUUUAUCGCCGGAGGAUUGGCCCGCGUCCGAUUAGCUAGUUGGUGUGGUAAUGGCGCACCAAGGCGACGAUCGGUAGCUGGUCUGAGAGGAUGAUCAGCCACAUUGGGACUGAGACACGGCCCAAACUCCUACGGGAGGCAGCAGUGGGGAAUAUUGGACAAUGGGCGCAAGCCUGAUCCAGCCAUGCCGCGUGAGUGAUGACGGCCUUAGGGUUGUAAAGCUCUUUCGCUCGGGACGAUAAUGACGGUACCGAGAUAAGAAGCCCCGGCUAACUUCGCGCCAGCAGCCGC